rnacentral:tRNA from 3 species
UUAACUGAAGCCAAAAAGAGGCAUAUUAUUGUUAAUAAUACCAAUGAAAGAAAAUUCCAGUUAAA